AAAGGGNGCCAAUGGAUUCUAGGAGUGAGA
rnacentral:piRNA from 1 species